rnacentral:lncRNA from 1 species
CAACGCUUGGUGGGGAGGAGGGGGCGCCGGAGCUGCGCGGUCGCCAGAUCCCGCCGCCGCCGCCGCCGCCGCCGGGCUUGAAAGGAAAGCCAUCUUUUAUUUAUGGCCAGGGAGGCCGGACGCCCCCGCGGGCCGGGCCCUGGCAGCCGGGAGGCGGCCUCGGCGGGUCCGGGCACCCAGCGGGGGCGCUCACGCCGGGGGGGCCUCGGGGGCUCGGGCGGCCCGGAGUGAGGGGAGCCCGAGCCGCAGCCUGGGAGGGCCGGGGGCGGCCCCAGCUGUGCCGGGGCUCUGCGCUGGCCCGAUGCAGCCACACGCCCAGUCACACUCACAGAUACCCGCUGACACUGACACACACCCACUGCCACACUCACAGACAUACACUGACACACACACACUCAGACACACUGACUCACACAUACACACUUACAGACACACUCACACACUCACACACACCCCCAGCUGCCCUCCGCUAGCACAAGGACGCCUGUGGCCGCUUCCCGCCCCGGAUGCUCCCGCUCGCUGCCCGACUCCUUCGGUUGCCCCGUUCUCACCCCGGCCCAGCUCUGCGCCCCAAAGAGAGCUGAGGCUUCCGGUUCUUGGGGAAAGCCCUUGGAGCCGGAUCUGGCCGGAGCAGAGCUGGCGCCCCCGCUGCUCCCUCCAGCUCCUCAGGCCUGAUGUCGGCAGGAGACCCGGCACAAGGAAAGGUCAGCCUGGCCGCCGGCUCCAAGGCCCGGAGGAGGAAUGAGUCCCAUGAACAGCACAGGCCCCUCCCGGGAUCCCUCAGCCUCUACCCCAAGGGCAGCAACUCUCGGGGGCUUUCGGCCUUCCACAAUGCUUCCACCCAUCCCUCCCUCUGAUUCUCGCCCAAAGCCAAGAGGGCAGCAAAGCGCUCUGUGGCUGCUGUCCAGCAGGGGAGUGGGCUGCCGGAGACAGUGAGCUCCCCGAGGCCGGAAGUGUCCAAGCACCAUCGGUGAUCACGUGUCAGGGAUGUUGUAGAAGACCUCAGCGAGGGUCGGGUCAGAUGGGUCCCGAAGGGCCCUCUUCCCUCCCCCACACCCCCAAGUAAGGGCUUCUCCCCCAAAUUGCUUUGUGAUCAUUGUAUCUAUGUGUGGGUCUCCUUCAACAAAACAGAUGAUCCUCGAAGGCAGAGCUGGUUUCAUUUGGACUAAACCUUUUGUUUGCCUGGUAUACAAUAGAUGUUUAAUAAAUGCUUUUUUAUCAAGAUUCUCUGGGAUUCUCUUUUCUCUUCCACAAAACGAAGAGCUGAGAUCUGAUGGUGACAGAGUCUUAGAUUUCAAAAUGAAAGGGACCACAUCCUCCACCCCCUCAAAUAACAGAAAAGGGCACCGAGGCUCAGAACACCUAAGGAGAGAGACUUGCUC